rnacentral:rRNA from 1 species
AACGCUGGCGGCGUGCCUAAUGCAUGCAAGUCGCACGGGACCCCUUUCGAGGGACGACCGUGGCGGACGGGUGAGGAACACGUGGCUAACCUGCCCUCCCAGUUGGGGAGUAGAGGCUGGAAACGGCCGGGUAAUACCCAGUACGCUCGAGGAGGGGGACCGUCUUUGAGGAAAGCCGUAAGGCGCUGGUGGAGGGGGCGUGCGGCCGAUUAGCUGGUUGGUGUGGUAAAGGCGCACCAAGGCGACGAUCGGUAGCUGGUCUGAGAGGAUGAUCAGCCACACGGGGACGUGAGACACGGCCCCGACUCCUACGGGA